UACCGCUGCGAGCCAGGGUUUUCAGAGGGAACUGAAAGGAGAGAAACACCCACUAGAUUCUGCUUCAGAUCAUCUGCGAAGCUCAGCUGCUUCCUUUCAGCCUCUUCUCUUUGUGUUUUGCAGUUGCUCGUCGUGGUAUUUCUCCCUGGGAGCUCACGGGAGGCCAGGCUCAUCGCCAGAUACACCUUGCAGCUUACUCCACCUCCAGAUGGGAUCUCUGGUUGCAGUGCUGCGUGUCAGCCAGGAUUAUCCUGUGGGGCUGAUCACAUCUGCCACCCACACACGCUUCCUGUGGAAACUAUGGGCAGGCAGGGAGGCAGAGACCCGGCUGUAACACGGGGAGCAGGAGGCUGGGGUGUGGGGACAGCAGCUCCGAAGCAAAGUGCUGGAUUCCUCUGUAGUCACCUGAGAAAAAUCAGCACUUCCAGAACCUGAUUCGUCUUGUCCUCGUGCAGAUACCUCCAGGAGAUCAGGAACCCAGAUAAUGCCCAAGACCAGCCUGGGAGGAGGCUGACCCCAGCGCUACAGGGCCCCACGUUGGCAGAGCGUGUGACACUGGGCCCCAUCUUGAAGCCACGCAUGUGCCACAGUUUCUUUCCUCCUUUUUAGCACAAACUGCCCUUGAUUAGUCACCGACCUGGUUUAGACGCUGCACUGCUACCACGCAAGCUGCGGGUGGAUGCCUCUGCAGAAGCAACGGGAGCAGAAGGCAGAAGCUCCUGAGUCCUGACUGCAGCUGUGAAACAGGCUUGGUGUUGAUCAUCAGGUUCCUUGCCUCAGUUUCCCCACUUGUCGUUUGAACGAUGCCUGUGUUGCAAUCAUGCUGCAAGGCGUAGCCGAUAUCUGCGCAGCGGUGCUUUGGAGGUGCCACGCAUCAGAUCAUCCCAGGAGAUAGCAGUAUCAGCCGUGUAUCAAUUGUAUCUACGCAGGGAACAAAA